rnacentral:rRNA from 1 species
UACGAAGGGGGCUAGCGUUGCUCGGAAUCACUGGGCGUAAAGCGCACGUAGGCGGAUUGUUAAGUCAGGGGUGAAAUCCUGGAGCUCAACUCCAGAACUGCCUUUGAUACUGGCGAUCUUAGUUCGGGAGAGGUGAGUGGAACUGCGAGUGUAGAGGUGAAAUUCGUAGAUAUUCGCAAAGAACACCAGUGGCGAGGCGGCUCACUGGCCCGAUACUACGCUGAGGUGCGAAACGUGGGGACA